UAUCAUAUUAAUGUAUUAAGACAUUAAGUGAGGAAGUAAAGUUGCAUUCACAGGCCUUGAACUUUUCCACAUCUCGAUUUUUACCCAUCAUCUCUGCAUAGUUCCCUAAGGCAGCCUUCAAAUGGUGAUGUUUCUUAUAAUCCAGAGUUCAGAAGUGGCUUCUCUUCAAUCUUUCUGUGGAAUUCUAAACCACGUGAUAAAGGAGCUGGUGCUGUCCUGGGUGGCAUGAGAACCAUGGGCUGAGGAUUGGACAAGCUUGCUCUACAAUAUUCACAGAGCCAGAUUUCCUUCUGCACCAGAGCCUGUGGAAGCGCCACAGUGGAAGCAGCAGAGACUGGAAGAGCAGGCCACAGAUCAGCCCUGGGGUUCAGAGGGAUCCUGACAGCUACUCCUCAAGAUCCUCUCUGUUGUGAUUCAUCCCCCCGGGGCCCUACAGUUUCUCCUUCCUGACUCUUACAUUUCUUUGGAUGGCAUCAUUAUUUACCUGUCUCCUCCCAUAGUUAGGUGCCAAGCACUGUGGAUUCUGCCUCUCAGUGUCCAGACA
rnacentral:lncRNA from 1 species